CAGAGUUUGGGGGAGGGCUGUUCUAUGGCAGCCAGGGGUUCUGGAUCACAAGGAUGGGGAGUGUGUCAAGUACUGGAGAAUGAGUCUAGACAGCACUGUGUUAGGUCUGCUGCUGAAGUCUAUUUGCUCCUAGAAUUGGGACCACACAGAACAGAGGAACCAUUGACAAGAAGCAUGGCUGGAGUACGAAAUAGAGAUCUUUCCUGCCUGACAUAGAGCUAAGAAUCAGCACA
ensembl:lncRNA